UGUAUGCGAGUGCCAGCAGUCGCGGUAAUAGGUGCUGUCACAACGUGAUUCGGAAGUACUGGGCGUAAGGGGGACGUAGGCGGCUCUGUCAGUCGGGUGUGAAAUCCCACGGCUCAACCGUGGAAGUGCGCCCGAGACUGCAAAGCUUGAGGGAGACAGAGGUAAGCGGAACUGAUGGUGGAGCGGUGAAAUGCGUUGAUAUCAUCAGGAACACCAGUGGCGAAAGCGGCUUACUGGGUCUCUUCUGACGCUGAGGUACGAAAGCCAGGGGAGCGAAGGGGAUUAGAUACCCGGGUAGUC
rnacentral:rRNA from 1 species